ACGGGAGGCAGCAGUGGGGAAUAUUGCACAAUGGGCGCAAGCCUGAUGCAGCGAUGCCGCGUGAGGGAAGAAGGUUUUCGGAUUGUAAACCUCUGUCAUCGGGGACGAUAAUGACUGUACCCGAGAAGGAAGCUCCGGCUAACUACGUGCCAGCAGCCGCGGUAAUACGUAGGGAGCGAGCGUUAUCCGGAAUUACUGGGUGUAAGGGGAGUGUAGGCGGGACUGUAAGUCAGAUGUGAAAUAUGCCGGCUCAACUGGCAGACUGCAUUUGAAACUGCGGUUCUUGAGUGAAGUAGAGGUAAGCGGAAUUCCUAGUGUAGCGGUGAAAUGCGUAGAUAUUCGGAGGAACACCAGUGGCGAAGGCGGCUUGCUGGGCUUUUACUGACGCUGAGGCUCGAAAGUGUGGGGAGCAAACAGGAUUAGAUACCCUGGUA
rnacentral:rRNA from 1 species